GAUGAAGAACGCAGCGAAAUGCGAUAAGUAGUGUGAAUUGCAGAAUUCCGUGAAUCAUCGAAUCUUUGAACGCACAUUGCGCCUUCUGGUAUUCCGGAAGGCAUGCCUGUUCGAGCGUCAUUACAACCCUCAAGCUCAGCUUGGUGUUGGGCCCCGCCGCCCCGGCGGGCCCUAAAGUCAGUGGCGGUGCCGUCCGGCUCCGAGCGUAGUAAUUCUUCUCGCUCUGGAGGUCCGGUCGUGUGCUCGCCAGCAACCCCCAAUUUUUUUCAGGUUGACCUCGGAUCAGGUAGGGAUACCCGCUGAACUUAAGCAUAUCAAUAAGCGGAGGA
rnacentral:misc_RNA from 1 species